rnacentral:rRNA from 1 species
CCCCGGCGCCACGAGUGGGAAUCACUUUUAUUGGGUCUAAAGCACCCGUAGCCGGCACUGUAAAUGCCCUGUGAAAUAGUCAGGCUUAACCUGACUGCGUGCAGGGUAGACUGCAGUGCUUGAGACCGGGAGAGGUCAGCAGUAUUCCUCGGGGAACGGUAAAAUGUUAUAAUCCGAGGAGGACUACCAAUGGCGAAGGCAGUUGGCCAGAACGGAUCUGACGGUCAGGGGUGAAAGCUAGGGGAGCGAUCGG